rnacentral:rRNA from 1 species
GUCCACGCUGUAAACGAUGUCAACUAGCCGUUGGGCCUAUAUACAGGCUUAGUGGCGCAGCUAACGCAUUAAGUUGACCGCCUGGGGAGUACGGCCGCAAGGUUAAACUCAAAUGAAUUGGACGGGGCCCGCACAAGCGGUGGAGCAUGUGGUUUAAUUCGAUGCAACGCGAAGAACCUUACCUACCCUUGACAUCCAGAGAAUCUGUUAGAGAUAGUAGAGUGCCUUCGGGAACUCUGAGACAGGUGCUGCAUGGCUGUCGU